rnacentral:miRNA from 2 species
UAAGUGCUUCCAUGCUU